CAUGCAAGUCGAGCGAGGCCCCGCCUUCGGGUGGGUGUCCUAGCGGCGAACGGGUGAGUAACAUUUUGGGCAACCUGCCCUCAGCUCUGGGAUAACUCCAAGAAAUUGGGGCUAAUACCGGAUAUGACCGCUGACCGCAUGGUCUGGUGGUGGAAAGAUUUAUCGGCUGGGGAUGGGCCCGCGGCCUAUCAGCUUGUUGGUGGGGUAGUGGCCUACCAAGGCGACGACGGGUAGCCGGCCUGAGAGGGUGACCGGCCACACUGGGACUGAGACACGGCCCAGACUCCUACGGGAGGCAGCAGUGGGGAAAUAUUGCACAAUGGGCGCAAGCCUGGUGCAGCAACGCCCCCUUGAGGGAUGACGGCCUUCGGGGUGGUAACCUCUUU
rnacentral:rRNA from 1 species